rnacentral:lncRNA from 1 species
AAAAUGCUUUCUCAGUUCUCACUGGAAAUUAUUUUUUUGAGAGAUAAGGCAUCAUGCUAUCCAUUUUUUUAAAAAAAAAAUUUCAAAAAUUUCCACUGUAGUUUCGUAUUUUUUCAUUUUAGCGCUAUAUGGUUUAAAGUGUAUCAAGUUAGUACCCUAUAAUUUCGCUCUUUCUCACUUUAAUAUUCUGUGGUUUAAAGUGUAUCAUAUUAGUACGCUAUGGUUUCGCACUUUCUCACUUUAGUAUCCUAUGGUUUAAUAUUUCAUUAAGAGAAAAUAAAAUCACAGGGUACUAACUUGAUACAAAAAUAAAACCACAGGAUACUAACUCGAUACAAAAUAAAACCACAGAGUACUAACUUGAUACACUUUAAACCACAAGGUACUAAAAUGAGAAAGAGCAAAACCACAUGGUACUAAUUUGAUACACUUUAAACCACAGGGUACUAAAAUAAAAAAAUGCGAAACCCGGGGGGUUUUUUGAAGUUUUUUCUUUUUCUAUUUAGAAAUAAAUUUAGCUAAAAAUAUGAAUCAAUUAGGAUUCGAACUUAAGAUCUCGAAUACCAACCAUCAAAUUUUUGAAUUAAACUAAAGGGUCAAUUGCAUACAGUUCUUUGUAAACAUAUCGAAUGAUAAAUAUAUCUUUAUAAAGUUCAACUUCUAUAUUUAUCGUAACAAAUGUCUUAACAUUUUCAAAUAUAUGCUCCCGCUAUUAGGAUCAGAUUUUUUUUUUU